rnacentral:rRNA from 1 species
GACGAACGCUGGCGGCGUGCUUAACACAUGCCAGUCGAACGGAAAGGCCCUGCUUUUGUGGGGUGCUCGAGUGGCGAACGGGUGAGUAACACGUGAGUAACCUGCCCUUGACUUUGGGAUAACUUCAGGAAACUGGGGCUAAUACCGGAUAGGAGCUCCUGCUGCAUGGUGGGGGUUGGAAAGUUUCGGCGGUUGGGGAUGGACUCGCGGCUUAUCAGCUUGUUGGUGGGGUAGUGGCUUACCAAGGCUUUGACGGGUAGCCGGCCUGAGAGGGUGACCGGCCACAAUGGGACUGAGAUACGGCCCAGACUGCUACGGGAGGCAGCAGUGGGGAAUAUUGCACAAUGGGCGGAAGCCUGAUGCAGCAACGCCGCGUGCGGGAUGACGGCCUUCGGGUUGUAAACCGCUUUCGCCUGUGACGAAGCGUGAGUGACGGUAAUGGGUAAAGAAGCACCGGCUAACUACGUG